rnacentral:misc_RNA from 1 species
GAGAUAGGGUUCUCACGAGCCCGACCUCCAACCCUUUGUUUACUAAACCACUGUUGCCUCGGCGGGCCGUCGGUUCCUUUAACUAGGCGCCGCCGUCGGCCUCUGCGCUCUCGAGUGCCCGCCGCAGGACCAAUAAACUCUUUUUAAAUUAGUACAAUCUGAGUGGACAUUUAAUGCUUCAAUUAAAACUUUCAACAACGGAUCUCUUGGUUCU